UUCCUGGUGGUCCAGUGGUUGGGACUCUGUGCUUCCACUGCAGGGAGUUCAGGUUCAAUCCCUGGUCAGGGAA
rnacentral:tRNA from 1 species